rnacentral:rRNA from 1 species
AGAGUUUGAUCCUGGCUCAGGACGAACGCUGGCGGCGCGCCUAACACAUGCAAGUCGAACGAGCGAGAGAGAGCUUGCUUUCUCAAGCGAGUGGCGAACGGGUGAGUAACGCGUGAGGAACCUGCCUCAAAGAGGGGGACAACAGUUGGAAACGACUGCUAAUACCGCAUAAGCCCACAGCUCGACAUCGAGCAGAGGGAAAAGGAGCAAUCCGCUUUGAGAUGGCCUCGCGUCCGAUUAGCUAGUUGGUGAGGUAACGGCCCACCAAGGCGACGAUCGGUAGCCGGACUGAGAGGUUGAACGGCCACAUUGGGACUGAGACACGGCCCAGACUCCUACGGGAGGCAGCAGUGGGGAAUAUUGCACAAUGGGGGAAACCCUGAUGCAGCGACGCCGCGUGGAGGAAGAAGGUCUUCGGAUUGUAAACUCCUGUUGUUGAGGAAGAUAAUGACGGUACUCAACAAGGAAGUGACGGCUAACUACGUGCCAGCAGCCGCGGUAAAACGUAGGUCACAAGCGUUGUCCGGAAUUACUGGGUGUAAAGGGAGCGCAGGCGGGAAGACAAGUUGGAAGUGAAAUCUAUGGGCUCAACCUAUAAACUGCUUUCAAAACUGUUUUUCUUGAGUAGUGCAGAGGUAGGCGGAAUUCCCGGUGUAGCGGUGGAAUGCGUAGAUAUCGGGAGGAACACCAGUGGCGAAGGCGGCCUACUGGGCACCAACUGACGCUGAGGCUCGAAAGUGUGGGUAGCAAACAGGAUUAGAUACCCUGGUAGUCCACACCGUAAACGAUGAUUACUAGGUGUUGGAGGAUUGACCCCUUCAGUGCCGCAGUUAACACAAUAAGUAAUCCACCUGGGGAGUACGACCGCAAGGUUGAAACUCAAAGGAAUUGACGGGGGCCCGCACAAGCAGUGGAGUAUGUGGUUUAAUUCGACGCAACGCGAAGAACCUUACCAAGUCUUGACAUCCCUUGACGAACAUAGAAAUAUGUUUUCUCUUCGGAGCAAGGAGACAGGUGGUGCAUGGUUGUCGUCAGCUCGUGUCGUGAGAUGUUGGGUUAAGCCCCGCAACGAGCGCAACCCUUACUGUCAGUUACUACGCAAGAGGACUCUGGCAGGACUGCCGUUGACAAAACGGAGGAAGGUGGGGAUGACGUCAAAUCAUCAUGCCCUUUAUGACUUGGGCUACACACGUACUACAAUGGCGUUAAACAAAGAGAAGCAAGACCGCGAGGUGGAGCAAAACUCAGAAACAACGUCCCAGUUCGGACUGCAGGCUGCAACUCGCCUGCACGAAGUCGGAAUUGCUAGUAAUCGUGGAUCAGCAUGCCACGGUGAAUACGUUCCNCGGGCCCUUGUACACACCGCCCGUNNC